UACAGAGGGGGCAAGCGUUGUUCGGAAUUACUGGGCGUAAAGGGCGCGUAGGCGGCCAACUCAGUCGGACGUGAAAUCCCUUGGCUCAACCAAGGAACUGCGUCCGAUACUGGCUGGCUUGAAUCCGGGAGAGGGAUGUGGAAUUCCAGGUGUAGCGGUGAAAUGCGUAGAUAUCUGGAGGAACACCGGUGGCGAAGGCGGCAUCCUGGACCGGUAUUGACGCUGAGGCGCGAAAGCCAGGGGAGCAAACGGG
rnacentral:rRNA from 1 species